GAAAGUAAAUAAGGGCGCAUGGCGGAUGCCUUGGCUCUCGGAGGCGAUGAAGGACGUGAUAAGCUGCGAUAAGCUUUGGGGAGGUGCAAAUGACCUUUGAUCCAGAGAUUUCCGAAUGGGACAACCCAAUAUCUUGAAGAGGUAUUAUCCAACGUUGUUGGAGGCUAACGCAGGGAACUGAAACAUCUUAGUACCUGCAGGAAAAGAAAAUAAACAAUGAUUCCCCCAGUAGUGGCGAGCGAACGGGGAACAGCCCAAACCAUCCAUGUUACGGCAUGGGUGGGGUUGUAGGACUACGCCGUUGCAUGAAGACAUCAGAGAAGAACUUUCUGGAAAGAAAGACCAUAGAGCAUGACAGUUGCGUAUUCGAAUGUUGUCGAAGCAUAGUAGUAUCCUGAGUAGCGCGGAGCACGAGGAAUUCUGCGUGAAUCUGCCGGGACCAUCCGGUAAGGCUAAAUACUCCCGAGAGACCGAUAGCGAACCAGUACCGUGAGGGAAAGGUGAAAAGCACUUCGAACAGAAGAGUGAAAUAGUUCCUGAAACCGUGCGCCUACAAGCGGUCGGAGCUCGUUAAUGAGUGACGGCGUGCCUUUUGCAUAAUGAACCUACGAGUUGCCUUUGCCGGCAAGGUUAAGUGUGACGACACACGUAUCCGAAGCGAAAGCGAGUCUGAACAGGGCGUAUAGUCGGCAGUGGCAGACGCGAAACCAAGUGAUCUACCCUUGGCCAGGUUGAAGGCUGGGUAACACCAGCUGGAGGACCGCACCAAUAAGCGUUGAAAAGCUUCUGGAUGAGCUGAGGGUAGGGGUGAAAGGCUAAUCAAACUUGGAGAUAGCUCGUACUCCCCGAAAUGCAUUUAGGUGCAGCCUUGCGGGUUACUGAUGUGAGGUAGAGCGACUGAUAAGAUGCGAGGGCUUCACCGCCUAUCAAGUCUUGACAAACUCCGAAUGCGCAUCAGUUCUACCGCAGGAGUGAGGGCAUGGGUGCUAAGGUCCGUGCCCGAGAGGAGAAGAAUCCGGACCACCUGCUAAGGUCCCGAAAUGACAGCUAAGUUAAACUAACGAAGUCUGACUGCUAAGACAGCUAGGAUGUUGGCUUGGAAGCAGCCAUUCAUUUAAAGAGUGCGUAACAGCUCACUAGUCGAGGAGUCGGGCGUGGAUAAUAAUCGGGUAUCAAGUUGUCUACCGAAGCAGUGGGAUCAUUAAUAUGAUCGGUAGGGGAGCAUUCCAGUCAGCGUCGAAGGCGUACCGUGAGGUAUUCUGGAGCGUCUGGAAAAGCAAAUGUAGGUAUAAGUAACGAUAAAGGGGGCGGGAAACCCCCUCGCCGAAAGACUAAGGUUUCCUGAUCAACGCUAAUCGGAUCAGGGUCAGUCGGGUCCUAAGGCUCAGCCGAACGGCGAUGCCGAUGGCAGAAACGGUUAAUAUUCCGUUACUACCUUCAGGAGUGACGUGGAGACGCAGUAGUGACAGUGCCGCCAUCUGACGGAAUAGAUGGUUGAAGGGUGUAGGAGUCGAUCAUGGCAGGCAAAUCCACCAUGAGAUCCGAACCUGACAGUAUGCCGCGUCCUUCGGGACAAGGCAAUAGUGCGCGUAAGCAUGCUGCCGAGAAAAUCCGCUAAACUUAAUCCUGGAGGUACCCGUACCGCAAACGGACACACGUAGUCGGGAUGAAUAUUCUAAGGCGCUUGAGUGAUUCACGGUUAAGGAACUAGGCAAACUGACCCUGUAACUUCGGGAUAAAGGGUCCCUACCCUUUUAUGGGAGGGCGCAGAGAAUCGGUCCAGGCAACUGUUUAACAAAAACACAGGGCUGUGCCAAAUCGAAAGAUCCAGUAUACAGCCUGACACCUGCCCGGUGCUGGAAGGUUAAGAGGAGAUGUCAUCGAUAAGAGAAGCGUUGAAUUGAAGCCCCAGUAAACGGCGGCCGUAACUAUAACGGUCCUAAGGUAGCGAAAUUCCUUGUCGGGUAAGUUCCGACCUGCACGAAUGGUGUAAUGAUCUGGACGCUGUCUCAACCGUGAGCUCAGUGAAAUUGUAGUAUCGGUGAAGAUGCCGAUUACCCGCGAUGGGACGAAAAGACCCCGUGAACCUUUACUAUAGCUUAUCAUUGAAUCUGGGCACGUGAUGUGUAGGAUAGGUCGGAGGCUUUGAAGCAGGUACGCCAGUAUUUGUGGAGCCGCUGUUGAAAUACGACCCUUUAUUUGUUUGGAUUCUAACCCGUGGAACGGGGACAUUGAUUGGUGGGUAGUUUGACUGGGGUGGUCGCCUCCAAAAGCGUAACGGAGGCUUCUAAAGGUGCCCUCCGGCCGAUUGGUAACCGGCCUUAGAGUGUAAUGGCAUAAGGGCGCUUGACUGGGAGACUAACAAGUCGAUCAGGUAGGAAACUAGAGCAUAGUGAUCCGGUGUUUCCGUAUGGAAGGGACAUCGCUCAAAGGAUAAAAGGUACUCCGGGGAUAACAGGCUGAUCCCUCCCAAGAGCUCAUAUCGACGGAGUGGUUUGGCACCUCGAUGUCGGCUCGUCACAUCCUGGGGCUGGAGAAGGUCCCAAGGGUUGGGCUGUUCGCCCAUUAAAGUGGCACGCGAGCUGGGUUCAGAACGUCGUGAGACAGUUCGGUCUCUAUCUAUCGUGGGCGCAUGAAAUUUGCGUGGCUCUGACACUAGUACGAGAGGACCGUGUUGGACAGACCUCUGGUUUGCCGGUUGUGCCGCCAGGUGCAUUGCCGGGUAUCUAAGUCUGGAUCGGAUAAGUGCUGAAAGCAUCUAAGUACGAAGCCGGCCACAAGAUUAGAUUUCUCAGGGUCGUUGUAGACUACGACGUUGAUAGGAUGCAGGUGUAAAGGUAGAGAUACCAAAGCCGAGCAUUACUAAUUGCCCGUUCACUUUCCUUA
rnacentral:rRNA from 1 species